UAAAACGUUUUUUCAAUUUUUAAACAUAAACAUUUAUAAGAAUUAAUUUAGUAUGAGAAAUCCUAAAGCAUAGGGCAAGUUUUUUUCUAUUGUUUAUGUGUGACCUUUAGUUUUUUAUAGACUUCGUUCUUGUUGUUCAAGUCUUUCCUAUUCAUUGUAUGCGAAAGUUUCUUAGUUAAAUUUAAAACUGUUGUAGAAGUUCAUGAUAAAAAGGAAAGCAAAUUAUUUUCAUUAGCGUCCUGUACGAAUUAAACUUAUUUUAUUUCAAAGUGCGAGUAAUAAGUUGAAGCUCUAGUUGAAGAGUCUGAUAUCGGCAAAAAGCAGUGCGUUAAUUUCAAUUCACAUUUAAAAAAGUUUUACGUAGAGUUUCGUUUGGAAUUUUACAUUAAAAUAAAGCCCAUAAAUUGAUAGUUCUGUAUUUAAAAGUGUUCACGUUGCAUCUAUUUUUGCAGGUUUGUACAAAAAAUUUAAAAACAAUUAUCGUGUUACCAUGACUAACAUGACGUAGCAGCGCGAGCCUGCGUUCACCGUUGGCAUAAUUACGAAUACUUCAUGCAUGUUGAAACAAUGUUUGGAAAAUAUAUAGGGGAGGGUUGUUCCAUGCAUGUAUUUCUAGUUAUGAAUUAAUUUCUGAUAUAUACAGUAUUUACCUGUGAAUAUUGUGUACUGUAAAGUGUCCAUUCCUGGGGGAAUAAGAAAUUUACCAUUUUUUGUAGUUGUAUCCCUAACAGAUUGGACCAUUAAAAUGGACCGUUGAUCGACCCUUUCGUACGGACAUUUAUAUUAUGUGCAACAAACUAAAUUGAAGUAUCAAGGUUGACAUAACGUAACUUUUCCAUGGCCUCUGUCACGUCAAAGAAAAUAAAAUAAAGAAAAAGCAAUAUUCAUUAAAGCAUGUGAUAUACAUUUAGAGAAAAAUGUUAAAUUGGAAGUAUCAACAUGGAAUGUCUAUAUGUUUAACUUGGAAAGAUACGUACUAUAUUUCACAAGUGUAUAACGUUGUUUUCAGAUUGAAUGCAAAACUUCAUCACGUCCAGCCAUCGUGUCAUCGGAACACAAAAGCGAAGAAAUCUUUGGAGAGAUAUCGCCUACUGUCAAUAAACGUUUUUGGUUGCAAACUAUCAUAGGAGUACGGGGUUAAUGCUUUCCAGGAGAGCAGUUGAAAUUUUUUCCGAAUUGUUUUGAGGAUUGUAAUGAUAUUACUUGAAUUUAAUCUAUUUUUGAUUAAUCUGCCCGAAUUUUGUUGAUUUUUCCUAGCAUUUGCCCGAAUUUCCAUGGUUUUCCAAAAUUCGGGGGGGGGGCAGUUACCCCCCGCCCCUGUCUCGUACGCCGAUGCAAACUAUAUUGCGAAAAAUGAAUAUGUUGGAAAUAGUAUAAUUAAUAUACUAACAUUUAAGGACUGAUUGACACGCCAGAUUUGCUAUGGAAGCUACUAUUUAAAUUAAAGUGUAUAUUUGUGUGAUAUGUUAUAUCUUUAUUCUAAUAAAAUUGUAUUUUAUUCACACUAAACAUUCUUUGUUCUUGAUCCAGUAGACGCUAUGUACGCUACAACGUACCAAUGUUUUGGAUACAUUUACUUCACAUUAUACGAAAC
rnacentral:lncRNA from 1 species